UACAACAUAGAGUUAAUGCAUCAGAUCCCAUUAGAACUAUGUAGUUAAGCGUGCUCAAGCUAGAGUAGUACUGGGAUGGGUGAUCGCCCGAGAAGUCCUAGUGUGUUAC
rnacentral:rRNA from 1 species